rnacentral:rRNA from 1 species
CGGGGACGUAGCUUGCUAUCCUGCCGGCGAGUGGCGGACGGUGAGUAAUAGCGAUGGGAGCUGCCCAAUCAGGGGAUAACGAACUGGAAACGGUUAGCCUAAUACCGCGAUACGCCCCGUGCGGGGGAAAGGUGGGGGACCUUCGGGCCUACCGCGAUUGGAUGCACCCAUGUGGGAUUAGCUAGUUGGUGAGGUAACGGCUCACCAAGGCGACGAUCUCUAGCUGGUCUGAGAGGAUGACCAGCCACACUGGAACUGAGACACGGUCCAGACUCCUACGGGAGGCAGCAGUGGGGAAUAUCGCACAAUGGGGGAAACCCUGAUGCAGCCAUGCCGCGUGUGUGAAGAAGGCCUUCGGGUUGUAAAGCACUUUCAGUGGGGAGGAAGGGCUGAUGACUAAUAUUCAUCAGCAUUGACGUUACCCACAGAAGAAGCACCGGCUAACUCCGUG